rnacentral:rRNA from 1 species
CUGGUGGCGAGCGGCGGACGGGUGAGUAAUGCAUAGGAAUCUGCCCGGUAGUGGGGGAUAACCUGGGGAAACCCAGGCUAAUACCGCAUACGUCCUACGGGAGAAAGCAGGGGCUCUUCGGACCUUGCGCUAUCGGAUGAGCCUAUGUCGGAUUAGCUGGUUGGUGAGGUAAUGGCUCACCAAGGCGACGAUCCGUAGCUGGUCUGAGAGGAUGAUCAGCCACAUCGGGACUGAGACACGGCCCGAACUCCUACGGGAGGCAGCAGUGGGGAAUAUUGGACAAUGGGCGCAAGCCUGAUCCAGCCAUGCCGCGUGUGUGAAGAAGGCCCUCGGGUUGUAAAGCACUUUCAGUGGGGAAGAACGCCUGGUGGUUAAUACCCGUCAGGAAGGACAUCACCCACAGAAGAAGCACCGGCUAACUCCGUGCCAGCAGCCGCGGUAAUACGGAGGGUGCGAGCGUUAAUCGGAAUUACUGGGCGUAAAGCGCGCGUAGGUGGCUUGAUAAGCCGGUUGUGAAAGCCCCGGGCUCAACCUGGGAACGGCAUCCGGAACUGUCAGGCUAGAGUGCAGGAGAGGAAGGUAGAAUUCCCGGUGUAGCGGUGAAAUGCGUAGAGAUCGGGAGGAAUACCAGUGGCGAAGGCGGCCUUCUGGACUGACACUGACACUGAGGUGCGAAAGCGUGGGUAGCAAACAGGAUUAGAUACCCUGGUAGUCCACGCCGUAAACGAUGUCGACUAGCCGUUGGGUCCUUCGCGGACUUUGUGGCGCAGUUAACGCGAUAAGUCGACCGCCUGGGGAGU